AGUGAACGCUGGCGGUAGGCCUAACACAUGCAAGUCGAACGGCAGCACAGUAAGAGCUUGCUCUUACGGGUGGCGAGUGGCGGACGGGUGAGGAAUACAUCGGAAUCUACUUUUUCGUGGGGGAUAACGUAGGGAAACUUACGCUAAUACCGCAUACGACCUACGGGUGAAAGCAGGGGAUCUCCGGACCUUGCGCGAUUGAAUGAGCCGAUGUCGGAUUAGCUAGUUGGCGGGGUAAAGGCCCACCAAGGCGACGAUCCGUAGCUGGUCUGAGAGGAUGAUCAGCCACACUGGAACUGAGACACGGUCCAGACUCCUACGGGAGGCAGCAGUGGGGAAUAUUGGACAAUGGGCGCAAGCCUGAUCCAGCCAUGCCGCGUGGGUGAAGAAGGCCUUCGGGUUGUAAAGCCCUUUUGUUGGGAAAGAAAAGCAGCAGGUUAAUACCCCGCUGUUCUGACGGUACCCAAAGAAUAAGCACCGGCUAACUUCGUG
rnacentral:rRNA from 1 species